UACGGAGGAUGCAAGCGUUAUCCGGAAUGAUUGGGCGUAAAGCGUCCGCAGGUGGCUAUGUAAGUCUGCUGUUAAAGAGUCUGGCUCAACCAGAUAAAGGCAGUGGAAACUACAUGGCUAGAGUGCGUUCGGGGCAGAGGGAAUUCCUGGUGUAGCGGUGAAAUGCGUAGAGAUCAGGAAGAACACCGGUGGCGAAAGCGCUCUGCUAGGCCGCAACUGACACUGAGGGACGAAAGCUAGGGGGAGCGAAUGGG
rnacentral:rRNA from 1 species